UUGGAGGGCAAGUCUGGUGCCAGCAGCCGCGGUAAUUCCAGCUCCAAUAGCGUAUAUUAAAGUUGUUGCAGUUAAAAAGCUCGUAGUUGAAUUUCGGGAUCAAUUUAUCGGUCGUGCCUACGGUAUGAACUGGUACAAUUGGUUUCUCCCUUCUGACGAAGCAUGAUGCCAUUAAUUUGGUGUCGUGGGGAAUCAGGACUGUUACUUUGAAAAAAUUAGAGUGUUUAAAGCAAGCAUUAGCUUGAAUACAUUAGCAUGGAAUAAUGAAAUAGGACGUUUGAUCCUAUUUCGUUGGUUUCUAGGAUCGACGUAAUGAUUAAUAGGGAUAGUUGGGGGCAUUAGUAUUCAAUUGUCAGAGGUGAAAUUCUUGGAUUUAUUGAAGACUAACUACUGCGAAAGCAUUUGCCAAGGAUGUUUUCAUUAAUCAAGAACGAAAGUUAGGGGAUCGAAGACGAUCAGAUACCGUCGUAGUCUUAACCAUAAACUAUGCCGACCAGGGAUCGGAUGAUGUUAAUUUUUUAAUGACUCAUUCGGCGCCUUACGGGAAAC
rnacentral:rRNA from 1 species